CGUAGGGUGCGAGCGUUAAUCGGAAUUACUGGGCGUAAAGCGUGCGCAGGCGGUUUUGUAAGACAGAUGUGAAAUCCCCGGGCUCAACCUGGGACCUGCAUUUGUGACUGCAAGGCUAGAGUACGGUAGAGGGGGAUGGAAUUCCGCGUGUAGCAGUGAAAUGCGUAGAUAUGCGGAGGAACACCGAUGGCGAAGGCAAUCCCCUGGACCUGUACUGACGCUCAUGCACGAAAGCGUGGGGAGCAAACAGGAUUAGAUACCCUGGUAGUCCACGCCCUAAACGAUGUCAACUGGUUGUUGGGUCUUUACUGACUCAGUAACGAAGCUAACGCGUGAAGUUGGCCGCCUGGGGAGUACGGCCGCAAGGUUG
rnacentral:rRNA from 1 species